AAUGGUGAUGAUGAAGAAGAUGAAG
rnacentral:sRNA from 1 species